rnacentral:ncRNA from 1 species
AAUUUGUUUAUUCUUAGUUCUAUUUAGUUUAUUUUCCGUUUUUUUUUUUUUUUUUUUUUUAAGAGUUUGAUUCUUGCUUAUUUAUUAAUUAAUUAAAUGUUUUUAUAUGUUUAUAUUUAUUAAUUAAUUUAAUAGACAGUAAUUAGUAUUAUUAAUUUAUUUUUAUUUUUUAAGUAGUAAUUUAUUAAGAAUUGAUUAAUAUUGUGCCAGCAUUCGCGGUUAAACAAUAUAUUCAAUUUAAUAGUUUUGGUUUGUAAUUUUAUUAUUUUGUUUAAUUUUUAAAUUAAAAAUUUAGGUGGAAUUUAAUUUUUAAUAUUUAUUUAUUUAAUUUAAAUUUUCGAAAUCUUUAUUUAAACUAGGAUUAGAUACCCUAUUAUUUUAGAUUUAAAUUAUAUAGUAUCCUGAAUAUUAAUAGUUAUGUUCUAUAAAACUCAAAGAAUUUGGCGGUAAUAUUAUUUCUUUUUAGAGGAACCUGUACUUUAAUUGAUAAACCACGAUAGAUUUUACCUUAAUUUUAUUUGUAUAUCUCUAUGGUUGGGAAUAUUUUAUUAGAAUAUUUUCCUUAUCUUUAAUCAAGGAUUUAUAUUAGGUCAAGGUGCAGUUUAUAUUAAGGUGGUUAUGGGUUACUUUAUGUAGUUUACAAUUUGGAUUUAUUAUAUAUUUAUAUAAAUGAAAAGGGAUUUAAUAGUAAUUUUAAUAAAUUAAUUAUUUUGAAUUAAGCUCUAUAUUAUGCACAUAUCGCCCGUCGCUCCUGAUUUUUAUUUGGAUAAGUCGUAACAUAGUAGUUGUACCGGAAGGUGUAGCUAGAUUUAA